rnacentral:lncRNA from 1 species
AAAGUUCGUUCAAUUUUUGGGUCAGAGCAUUCAACGCAUGCGAAUUAGCUGAAAACUUGUACGACAAAGGAUUCGUUGCACAAAGUCCAGUCAAUUUUUUAGUCAGAGCAUUUAGUGCAUGUGAAUAAAAGGAAUCAAUACCAUAUUUAGUGCAGAUGUUUGCACGACAAAGGCUUUGUUGUGUAAAGUCCCUAACCUUCCUAUAAAUAUGCGCUUCUGCUCUCCUUAUUCUUCACAAUUCUGUUCGUGCUAGAAUGGAGGAUAAAAAUCGGGAGCAGAGCAAGGCCUCUGAGCCCUAUGAUAUGAGGCAAUAUGUGGAGCUUGCGCAUGCGAUUGGUGUAGCAAUGCAGAACAAUUGUCCUACUGCUAAGUGGUGUUCUUGGAAAUAUGUGCCCUAGAAUGUGAAGAAGGCAAUGAUGGAUCAAUUAUUAGCAAGUGUGACAAAUGUUGAAAAUAAUUAAUUUUAUGAAAUUUUUUGUUAUAUGUUGUAAUUAAUUAUUUGCGUAUAUGUGUAAUAGUGUAACUAUACUCUUGAUGAUAAGAACGAAGAGUUGAUGAAAUUGAUGGAGGAGGCAUUGAAGGGGGUUACAAGCAGUGGCGUUAUGACAUCGAGCGGAAUGGAGGACCAGCGAAACAUUAGUUUUAAAUUUAUGUUCUUAAGGUCAAUAUUUAAUUUUAAGGUUUUUUUAUAGGUUAUGUAUUUGGACUUAAUUAGACUUGAAUUCAU